CACUCCCAGAUGCCAGUGUGUGUCUCGUCCACAUGGUGCAAUCUGCCAUGUUCUGAGAGCUGGUCUCCAUGGAGUUGGUUCCCAACUCCUUUUCUAGAGAGUGCCAGAGAGAUUCCUUAUACAGAAGGUAAGCUGGAGGGCCAGGCCUUCUAGGCAGAGAUUUUGGACCUGGGGAUUUGCAUAGGAGGCAAGGUAUAUAUGGAGUAGGGAAGAAAGGAAAAGGAGGGGAGUGAUAGUAAGCAGGAUGCCCAGAAAAAAGGGUGAAGGCUCACAUUUAGUCACCUGUUAAAUGUGAAAGGUCCACCUUGAAGAGGUUGGCUGGGUAGGGUUAGGAGGAGAACAGUCACAUGGAUGUCUGUGGGAAAGGAAAUCUACAGCCUUACCACACUAGUGGCAGUACCUUCUCCUGACAUCUCGUUUGAUGAGAAUGACGAUGUAUGAGGAGGAGGGACAUGGUUCCUUUCUCUUCUCCAUCUCGUCCCUGAGUAAGUUCUGUGCAAAGCAAGGACUGACAGCAAGAGAGGGUAAAGUGGGGAUGGAGAUGCUUACAGAGGUGUUUACAGUGUAACGAUACAGGAUUGAGGUAAUAGUGGAAGAACGGAGGCUCUGGGGGGCAUGGGCCAAGGUGCCUUGAGGAUAAAGAAGGCAUCAGGAAGGCCCAGGGAUGCACCUUGGGCUUUGCCAUCUUGUAUUCACAAAAGAAAACUCCCAGAUCAGUCCCAGGUUCUUGGCACUGUCUCAGGUCCUCAGAUGUUCUCUAAUGCAUGUGUUCAACCAUUCCUCUUCCCUGUUCUCCACAUUUCCUGGGUCACAACAGCCUUGUUGGCUGUGGAAUGAGAAUGAGAUGUCAGAGAAGGUCCAGCUGGCCUUGGGUUGGAGUAAGUAGCUUCAAAUAAAGAAUGUCUCUGCAGUGGGUGUGAGGCCAGGCCACUGGCCCAAGUGUUUAGUGUUCACGAAUUCAGACUCUCCCUCUCACACUGACUCAGCCUGUGCCUUUGGGUGACUCUGUUUCUCAGACCUUAACACGGGGAUAAUGAUACUCGCUACUUUGUGAGGGGGUAUUAAUUAAAGUUAGCAAACUGCGUGGCAAUGCCGGGAUGAAAGGUGUUAAAAACACCAUACAUUUAAAGUGUAAUUGUGAGGCACGGUAGGUUGUGUCACUUGCCAUAUGUGUUGUAAUUAGAAUUGAUAUAGACAGAUAAAAUUCAUGUUAGAACAUAGGCUCUGCAGAGAAUAGGUCUCAUUUUAGAAUGUGUGUUAGAAGCCACCUUGGUCCCCAAACUAAAGUCAAGAGAAAAAUGUGGAUUUGCGUGGGAUGUGUGUUCAUGGGCUGACGCGUCUCCCUAUAGUCUUGUAAAUAGAAAAGAGAGCUGAUUUUCGAAUGUCGCAUAUUUCAAGUUUUCCUUCAGAGACUUCAGGCCUUUGCUAUUCAAUCCUCACUUCUCACCAGCAGAGAUCCUGAUGACAGGAAACAUGUCCCUGGUGAGCACAGCUUGAUGGCAGGUAAGGGAUAAGGAAUGCCUUGGAGAACCAAACCUGGACACUUUGUCCCUCUCUGUAAGUGGCCUUUCUUGAGAGACUAAAAAAUGUGAGCUUCCUUAGUCCAGUGCUCAAAGGCUGGCCACCAGCAAUUCCUCCUUGUCCCAGACACUGUUCCAUGACCCUGGAGCCCCUCAGGACAAGAAGUCACAAAUCAUGUGGCUGAGACAGAGCCGUGAUUUCAGAGUGCUGCUCUCCUCACUGUUUCACCAGUGCUGGCUGAGAUCCUAGAGCAGCUUCUGCGGAAUUGAUCGAAAUGAUGUCAUGUGUGAGGCUAAUUUUUGGAAAUGGAAAUCAGUGUCUCUUGGAGAAACUAGAAUGCCUGGUAGGUCCUGGGGAAGGCUGCAACCAUCACAUCACCAUGUGCUGAAGACCUCUGCAGGCUCAUGCUUGAUGACGUCCUUACCUCUACGCCUUGAAGUAAAAAGAGAUUAAAUAGUUAAGAAAAAAUGUCAGACUGAAAAACCCUGAAGAGCUUUAGAUUCUCCCAGGUCUGUCAAGUUAGGCAACAGCUGGGCCAUCAGAUCAGGGAAUUCAUGCAUUCAUUCACAAGCUGUAUUGAUUUAUUGAGCACUUUCUGUGUGCCAAGCACUGUUCUGAGUGUUGAUACAGCAGUGGACAUGCCAGACAAAAAUUCCUAUCCUUGUGGAUAGCAUUCUAUUGGAGAGACAUCCAAAGCAGAGGAAAACACUUAUAGCAUCACUGCUUAUGACUAAUUCUGUUUCCAGCUGUCCUGCAGCUGUCUGGGAUUUGGACUUUGUUCUAAUCCCAAUCCUACUGCAUCCUUUUCUCUAUAAAUUAGGAGGAGUGACAUUGUCUAAAAUGAGGGCUAGUUGUUGUCAUCGAUUUUAGCUGAGAAGUAGGGGUGAUAUUCAUAUUGGCAACUGGUAUAGCACAAGUGCUGACCAACCAGAAUGGGUACCUGUAGUUCCUGCUAACACUAAAGCUUUAGACCCAAGGGUCUUGAGAGAAUGAUUCAGGUAGCCGAGAUGGCGAAAGAUUCAGAGUGGGGGCACUUGGGGGCAUUGGCUAUUUACAAAAUGGUACAGAAAUAUUUCAAUACUUUAAACAUAGCCUGACUAUACCAGACAAUACCAGAUGAAUAGCAAUCCUACUCUUGAAAGAAUCUAGAGAAAAGGACAUACCCAUAUGAUGUCUUGGUCAAUAUGCCCACUGAUAAAAGAUCCAGCAGCCAACAGAGGACCUACCAUCAAUUUCACAUUUUGAAUCUCGAUUAGAAUUCACAGCUACUGAGUCUCCACAACCUUAUAAAAUAACUUUGAAAACUUUAAAUUUUAAAGAUGGCCUUUAAAAUUCUCAUAAAUGGCUGCCAGGUGGAGCAGAGCUGUGAAGGGCACCCAGCCUCUGUAAGAAUUGUCUUUAUUAAAAAGAAUGCAACAGCUCUGGAAUAUGCUUUGAUGUGGUGAUAGGUUUUUUUGGAUCUCUUCUUUCCUGGUCAUUACUUGGUUUACACGGGACUUGGCUGGUGAGGAAGCCACACCCCUUUGACAGGUAGAUAGAAAGCACUAUUGACAGGGAGCAGUUGUGAAACAAUUCUAGUUGCCGUCACUGGGGUGCUGGCAUAGUACUGGUCCUGCAGGUUCCUAACUUGUCAUCAUAGCUGGCAACAUCUCCUGGCUUUUAUAGAAGGUUUAAUUGGAGAGUGUCUGAUGCCUGAAGGACUUUGCUGGUUGACAGCCUUGAAAAUGGUGAAAGAAAGAAAUUGAAACCAGAAAGUGGCAAAGCAGGUGGAGAAGGUGGUCAAAUGCCUUAACAUGGAUCAUCUGCUUGCGGUAUUGAUCUCUAAAAAACAUUCACAUUCCAAAUUCCAUCUCAGCAUCUGUUUCUGGAGAAUUCAGUCUGUGUCAGCAUGGGUACUAUGUUAACAAAUAUUACAAGAAGAUGUUGAUUAGUUCAUCUACCUCCUUACAAGUUUACACAUUCAGAUUCCAGGUUUCUUUUAUUGAAUGUAUCUGCUGUACGGGAAAUUACUCUGGGAAAUUGAUAAGUAAAUAACCGUCUGUGCUGCUCAUCUUGGCGCUUGAACCUCCGACUUGAAGAGUAGGGGAAUAUCAGAAAUGAAGGCCCUGAAAGAUGAACUAAAUCAUCCAAACACCUAUGAGCCAGGUAUGGGUGAGUCUGCCACUACAGAGGCCCGUGGGAGCUGAGCUGGAUGAAUGCAGAGUGAAGAGUCAGAGACCCCACAGACGCCAGUGGUGAACUCCUUUGACUGUGUUGGCGCAUCUAACUCCACCGUCAAAUAGGAUCAUAACUUGCUCCAUCAAUGACCCGUUCAUAGUGCGUGUCUGUCUCAUGCAAGAUGUGCUCAUUACUUUAACAGAACGUUUACCUUGUAAACGUUUCUCAUAAUGAAAAACAAACAGACCAGUAACCUCAUAUUUUUGUGAUGAGUAGAUUUUUUUGGUUCAUCAGCCUGGCCCUUUCUCCAUUAUCAAGCUUUUGGCAGGGCUGAUAUUCCAGGGCAAACACUCACCUUCUUGGUGCCCACGAGCAGUGGACCCCUCAUUCUGCUUUGGUUUACUGCUUCCACAUUAACUCAUUAACUAGCUCCCUUAUUCAUUGUUCAACAGACAAUUCUCAUCUACUGUGUUGGGAACAGGGCUAGGCAGUGGGUCUUCCUGUUCUUAUCUACCUAGAAUUCAGAGAAGAACACAGUGCAUGGAGCCUAGUGAUGGAGAAAACCUCGACGUGGCAACUUCCAGAUCCUAUCAUAGGAGAUGGAGCCACAUGUCUCUCCAGGAUGCAUAUUCUGGGAGGUUUAUUCCCAAGUAGGAAGAGAGUGUGGGUGAUAAGCAGCCCCACGCUUGGCAAAUGCUCACUAAAGAAGGUAUCUUUACUACGGUGGGUCCAUCUGCAUUCUCCUAUUCCAUAUCCCUUGCCUGUGAAGAGUCUGCAAGGGUUAGGUGCUCCUGCAGCAUACCCAGCCUUCUGCAUAGGGAAGACGACAAGUUAGACUUCCAAACAAGGUGGCAUACAACCGAGAACUCUGUUGGAGGCAGCUAGCAGAAACCCGAUCCAAAUUAGCUUAAGCAAAACAGAAAUUUUAUUUUAAGGAUAUGGGAGAGAUUUGUCAAUUACAGCUCAAUAAAACAGGGAAAAGGAUGUGGGGAAGGUGCAUGUCUCAUGGAAUCCAAUGGAGCCAAUGCUUAGACUUUGGGAAUGACACAAAUCCAAAAACAUGAAUGCCCUUAGGACUCUGCUUCUAAUAUUCAUAUAAUUGAUAAUAUUUGUGGAGCAUUUAUUAUGUCCUAGGCACUUUUUCCACUUAGGUUCAUUGCAUUUUAUUUAUUUAUUUUUACAACAACUCUGUAAAAUCUGAACUAAAAUUAUUCCAUGUUUCAGAGGUGGAAGCCUGGGGAAGUAAAGGCACAUGUCCAAUGUCACACAGCUAUUGUAGUAAGAGAGCAGGUGUGAAUAUAGAGCCUGUGCUAGUGACCCUCACCAUACCACCGUCUCCUGCCUUGGUGCUGACUGCUGUCCCCUGUCCCUCAGCUCAACUCACCCCAAGUUUCACACAUCCAUCCAUCAGUCUAUGGGGACACCACAUUUUUCUGUCUCACGUCAUGUCUCAAGGAAAGGACUAUGAUUGGCCAGCUUGGGUUAAGUCCCAGGGGUUUCACCCAGAGGAGGCUCUGCCAUACCAAGGAGAAGAGAUGGGGGAGAGUGAGCGCUUCAGGGGCAAGGUGACCAUUUUCAGGAACUGAGUGCUUCUGGGCAGCCAAACAAUUGUUAACUACAAAUUUCACCUUUGCCUCCUGCAUGACUUUUCAUUUUUGCUUUACUUUCCAGCAAUUUAGAAAUAAAUUUAAUUUUCUUUCUCUCUUUCUUUUUUUAUACAUUUAAUUGUCAGAGGCACUGACUAACUCAUUCCACAUGUCUGGGAGUGUCUAGUUCUCUGCCCUAUUUUACAGAGCUUUCCUCUUCUUUUACUAUUUUUUUCAAUCAGUAAAAAAAAAUUCAAUUCUCCUGUUUCAUACUGUGUUUGAUUUUUUGGUAAGCUGUCUUAGCUUACAAAAACAUUUAUGGAAAUAUGUGAGGGAUAAAUUAUGGAUUAAAAAAGAAAAAAGACUUCAGAGUUAUGCUAUCAACAUGAUCGCUACUAGCCAUGUAUGACUAUUUAAACUUAAAUUAAUUAAAAUUAAAUAAAAUAAAAAAUUUAGUUCCUCAGUCACACAAGCCAUAGUUUAAAUGCUCAACAGCACAGUAUAGUUCUAUAUUACAGACUAUUUCCCUAAUUGCUGAAAGUUCUGCUGGGUAGUACUGCCACACAGGGUUUCAACAAUGGUGUGCUGUCUCUGAAAUAAUGAGCUCCCUAAAGGAAGUGGCUGGAUGACCUGUGUUCACCCUCCAGAUCCCAGGGGUUGUGAGUCCCAGCUUUCAUUCCCACCAUUAUGUUUCCUGUUGAUUACUUCCUGACUCACUUCCCUAUUCAUUUUCUCAAAGCCAACAUUUACAUCACAUAAGUUAUUCCUUUUCUGUUGCAGAAAAAAUAUGCAAUGGUAAUAGGGGGGUUGAAGGGACAUUUAUUACUGAUACUAAAAAUGUAAUGCACUUAAUUAGAGGUGGGACUGAAGGAAUGUGUGAACUGAAAAUGCUGGCUAACAAAAUUGUUUACACAUGGAAAUGCGGUAAGAGCCCCGAAACAGAGCUCCCAUGUUCUCCCUGGUGGGAAAGUUUCCAUCUUUCCUCUUUUUGUAACUGUCCAGAAAAGACAGAAUGUUUUUGAUCAAAGUGGCUUUGAAUCUUUAGCAUUACUUUCUCCCAUUGGAACAGAACUUUUUCCCAUGCAGUGCCAAUCCACACAUAUAGUUUCUGCAGCUCCUUAGUUUUAUUGGGAUGGGGGUGGGGGGGGGGGACACCAUCCUGUUUGAAAGGGUUUACAGCUGAUACUACUGUUCACAGUAAAUUCCUAGAGUGGGAGGAGGUAGAGGCACAUUUUUGGAGCAGCUAGGUGGCUGGAAGAGAUUCUCCGCCCCCAAGACUGGUCAGCUGCCCUGUGAAAAUGAGAGCUGCUCACUUCUCCUUGGCAGUGUGCUCCAGCAGGGAGAUUGGUCCCUAGAUAUAGCACCUUCCAGCAAUGUUCUCAUGCCCCAAGGCUGUUAUUGAAAUAGCAGGGUUGUCAAACCUGAAGGAACCAUUGCCUGUGGGCUGCAGGGACCUGGAACCCUGACCCAAACCAGGACGGAGGAGGUGCUCAGUAAUGAUUAUGAUUCAGCUGUCCAACAGCUCAGUAAAAGGGGGACUAGGAGUCACAUGCAACUUGAUUUAAAGGAUUCCAAAAAUAUGUGAUAUUUAUUGUGCACCUGAGUUCAAGAACUGAUAUUCUUGCUUACUGAAGUUGAACGUACUAAGUUUGGACAUAAAAUUUGAGGGGCGGGUAAGGGCAGUGUCUUUGUGACUGGCAUGCACAGAACACAGAUGACAUUCUGAAAGCCACCGUCCAGGACUGAAGAGUUGCUUUCUACAUUCUGGAAUUAUGACACGAGGUUCACUUUAGAGAGUCUUUUGUGGAUAAGCCGCAUCAAUGAACAGUCCUAGUGUGUGUGAGUGUGAGCUCAGCUUUGUUCUGUCAAGUCUUAAGACAGCAUUUGAUUUAGCAAUUGAUUCAAUUACAUUACAUGUGGAUUUGGCAAAGUGGUGUGUGUGUGUGUGUGUGUGUGUGUGUAUUUCUUUUAAACAAUGAUGAUAACCUUUCUGAAUUCAGGUGGAAGCUGUCUUGACUGACAGCCAGGUACCUGGUGAUUAACUCUCCGUUUCUUUUGUGAAACAUACAAACAUGCCCUGAGCUCACUGAGCUCUCACAGCUGGUAGGACGGGAGGCUCCUCUUUAGUAGGCUCACUGUGUUGUUUGCCUGUUUCCUAGCCUGUUCAUUCCACUUAAUUGUAUCAUGAUAACUACACAAUUUGAGCAAAUAUUACUGAAACCAGUGACACACAGGUACACAAAGAAAGGGGAAGUGUUUCCAAUGAAAAGAAGCAAAAUGCUUGGGAAAGAUUCAACGAGGAAAAGUUGCUUUAAAUGUGUUGUUGGAUUAUAUUUGAUGGUUAUGAGUACAGAAUCUAAGAUUCUUUAGUCAAGAUGCUUUACACUGUCUUUAAAUUCUCAUUUCACAAAGGAAACUCAAAUGAGACAACAUGGAGGAUGCAUUAUCUGUGUGGUUCACCAAGAGAGGGAACAAUACAGCACUCUAAUCAGCACAUCUAUAUUCAAAGAAAGGCACUGGCUGAAAAAAGCACUGCAGUGAGACAGCAGAGGGACGGAAGAUGAUUCUGGAAAAACGCCUGCUGCUGCCAGCAUUUCACAGAGAGCAAAUGGGAAGAGGGUGAAACUCCUUAAAUUCAAACAUAGCACAGAUAUGUGCAUUACUAUAUAUGGAACCAGGAGACUUGGAGCUGGAGUGAUACAGCUGAUGAGUGCCCCAGUGCUGGGCUGCGACGACUCUGCUUUCCAUAGACAAACCAGAAACAUGAAAUUAUCCAUCCUGAUGGCCGGUGUGGUGUGGAAAUCACUGAGGCUGGGAACCCACAGAUCAAUGGUGUGAACCAGGAAGAUGAAAACAUCAGAUUGGACCAAAACAGACCCAUUUUCUUCACUACUCCAUUCUCUGGUUUUGUCCUAUAUCUUAGGGAAGCAGGAUAAGACACUGACACCCUAACUGUGCUGGGUAUUCCUUGUUGUUCAAUGUGUAUAUACGUAUAGUAUAACUGACUCCUUAGUAAGUUAUGUAUAGUCUGCAGGUUUUAGGGUGUCUGUAGUUCUCCAAAGACACCAGAUUCUCUGUGGCAGAGGACAGCCUACUUUCUCCCAGGCCCUCAGCUCAGGCCUGAGCGAGGCUUGACAUUGUCUUUAUAGAGUAGUGACCGUCUUGAGCAGAAACGAAGGUGAGCAAUGUGUAUAGGAUAGGUAAGGCAGCAGGACAAGGCGGGAUAGGUACCGGGUCAAAGGAACUAGAAACAGGCCUUGGGAUGGGGCAAGCAGUGGGUUGGACACUGGAUCUGAGAGGGACGGAGUACCAGUGCAGUGGCAAGUGAAGAUGGGAACAGAGACCCAGGCUGGGAACGUGGAGAAGCGAAGGCCACACGUGAUGCACAGGAGGAGAUGGGCUGGUGGCCACACGUGUCAGGGAGGUGAGUACGAAGACGAGAAGCACUGCAAACCUGUCAACAUUUUAUGUUUAAUCUUCAUUCAUUAAAGGAAUGAUCGCUACCUGU